CACGUAGGGUGCGAGCGUUGUCCGGAAUUAUUGGGCGUAAAGAGCUCGUAGGCGGUGUGUCGCGUCGGCCGUGAAAACCUGCAGCUUAACUGUGGGCGUGCGGUCGAUACGGGCAUCACUGGAGUUCGGCAGGGGAGACUGGAAUUCCUGGUGUAGCGGUGAAAUGCGCAGAUAUCAGGAAGAACACCAAUGGCAAAAGCAGCUUUCUGGGACGGUACUGACGCUGGAGACGCGAAAGCGUGGGGAGCGAACAGG
rnacentral:rRNA from 1 species